rnacentral:rRNA from 1 species
UACGUAGGGGCAAGCGUUGUCCGGAAUUACUGGGCGUAAAGCGCACGCAGGCGGAAUUGUAAGUCCGUUGUAAAAUUCAGAGGCUCAACCUCUGUCUGUCGGCGGAUACUGCAAAUCUAGAGUAUGUGAGAGGGAAGUGGAAUUCCUGGUGUAGCGGUGAAAUGCGUAGAUAUCAGGAGGAACUCCGGUGGCGAAGGCGACUUCCUGGCACAAGACUGACGCUCAUGUGCGAAAGCUAGGGUAGCGAACGGGAUUAGAUACCCGGGUA